AUUGUAAGUCAUACUUUAAUUGCAGUCAAGCACACAAAUUAUAGUGUAAUACUCUAGGGAAAUACAGUGUAAAAGUCUGAUGAAUUAAAUUGUAAGUCAUACUGAAAUUACAGUCCUCAAGCACACAAAUUACAGUGUAAUACUCUAGGGAUAAGACAGUAAAAGUCUGAUGAAUUACAUUGUAAGUCAUACUGAAAUUACAGUCCUCAAACAUACAAAUUUACAAUGUAAGUCUAGGGAAAUACAAUGUAAAACUCUGGUGAAUUGCAUUGUAAGUCAUACAAAAAUUGCAUUGUAACCAUACAAAUUACAGUGUAAAACUCUAGGGAAAUACACUAUAAUUACAUGAGUGGUUGGGCUAAAUUUACAAAGUAAACUACACAGUGAUCUGGGAGUAUACACAGUGACUCCAGGGCAUAAAAACACUGUAAAUCUGGGCGAAUACACUGUAAAUUACAUGAGUAAUUGAGCUAAAUUACUGUGAACAUAAAUAGGACAAAUUACACAGUGAUUCCAGGCAUAAUAUACUGAAAAAUCUGCAUAUACACAGUACAUGAGUAAUUGGGCUAAAUUCCUGUGAACAUACUAGGACAAAUUACACAGUGAUUCCGGGCAUAAAUACAUUGAAAAAUCUUGCAUAUCUGGGAAUAUACACUGGAAUUAGGGGGGAAAUUACACAAUACUGAUAGCACAAAUUACACUGUAAUCGAACAAUAAAUAACACAGUAUUUGGGAGAAUGACACAGUAAUUACAGAUAUGGGAGAAUUACACUGUAAAGCAUGUUAAUUACACUGUAAAAAUGGCAGAAUUAUACUGCAAAAGGUGGGACAGUGAGGUUCUGCAAACCUAUUACACAGUAGUUACACUGUAAUUCUGGGGGUAUGAUCCACUGUACUUUUGAGCUACAUUACAUGUCUCGGGGGUAAAAUUACACAGUAAUAGAAGCAUCAAAUUCAGAGAGCUUCCUGGAACACAUUCAGACAUGCCUCAUCUACCAGGGGAAAAUCAUAAGCAGCCACCUGCAACUACAAAAAAGCAGGCCAGAUCAUCCCCAACUGUCACCUAACGGCAAGGGAACAGACACCCCAAGCUAGCAGAAAACAGGAAAUCACCCGCUGCAACAACCAGUACGCCUACCUCCACCAUCUACAGCACAAAAUAAAACAAAUCUAAAAGCCUACAUCCACAUCUACACAGCAAAACGGAAACCCUAGAACCCGCAACUACAAAAGCUCCUACACAACGCAGGCUAGCACAAAAGGGGGCGGGUGAAAUUGGGCGGAUUCACCAAGAACAACAAACAGAACAUCCACGAAGACGAGAACUCAGCUAGAUUUGGAACUACACGACCAGAGCACAAGCGGAAACACCUGGGGCCAGCGGGGGGAUUAGGGGAACCAACCUCGGCAGCCGGGGGCAAAGAGAAUAGGGAGGACAAAAUCAAAAUCGAACGGUGGAAUAGCUCGGAAUCGCCUCUCUCCUCCGCCUCUCUCCUUCGCCGCUCGAGCUCUCUCCCUCGGCCUUAUCGAAACAGAGCGACCCAAAUGAAAAGGGAGACGACACCCACUCGGAAAUUCAAGCAGGACAAAAACCAAUAGUACCGCGACGGGGCGGUUUCGGGUUGAGAU
rnacentral:lncRNA from 1 species